GGUUGUUCCCUUGUGUCAAUAA
rnacentral:miRNA from 10 species